UAUUAUAUCUGACUAAAGUUGAUAGGUUCAUGUUAUUUAUUUACAUUAUUAACUCUGAUAUUUAAAAAUAACCCAUGGCCCUACCGAACUUAUUCAUGUCUAUUCAUUGAUGGAUUGCUAUCAAUAAGAUGUGAAUUCUGAAAUAUUGUUGCUUAUUUUGAAUUUCUUAUUAUUUAGGAGAGAAAGGAUGUUAUGAGAAAAAUAAAAAGCUUGAGCGCAAGAACUGAAUACCCUGAUUGUGAAGUGUGAGGCCAAAGACGAUUGUUGUUGUAUAUUGUAGAUAUCUUGAUGAAUUAUCAUGGUCGGUUAUGAGGUAUAAGACGUGUAAUAAUAUUAAUUUAAAAAUAAUAUAUACUCCCAACUCUAUAAAAUGAGUUUAUCUCUAUUUAAAGAUAUAUUCGUUCAUUAAAUGAAGAGGAUCGCAACUCCAUAAUAUAACAUAUAAUAUGAUGAUUGUACUUGUUGAUUGGAUUA